CGGGCCACCUCUCAGGAUGUUCUGAUUCCAUCGUUCUGGGAUAGGUUGUGAGAGUUUGUAUAUUUAAGCAGUUCCCUAGCAAUGGUGAUGCUCCUGGUCCGGGGACCACACUUUGAGAACCUACGUUCUACACACCAGUGGGCAUGCUAGACAGGGGCUGGCUGGCUUCUGUCUUUUUCAGAAUUACCGUGGAGCAUAAACAUCCACUAAGGCCCUGUUUCUCAUGGCACUCUGGAAAAUGAUUCAACGACAUGGCUUGGAAAAGAGGUCCAACUUUUUGCCUCAUUGUCUGUGUUCUGAAUCCAACCUAGUUUAAUAUUUUGGAAAAUGUUACCCUUUUCUGUACCGAGCAAAGUAAAUAUUUUGUCAGUUGUUAAGGAUGAGCUGCAGAGUAAGACCUAAAGAUGUAUCCAAAUUCAGCAGGAAAGCUUGGAGCUGCUUUGGAACUUUUUCCAGAUUGUGAUUUGUAAUGUAUUUCAGAAGCCAGCAGAAAUACCAACCACUCGAUCUAUUAAGAAAAGGCUGAAUGAACCUUUUCACAGCACUUUUUUUUUUCCACACCAACUCUCAUUACGCUUGGCAAAGAAAAGAGAAAGAAGUGAAAAAAAAAUGCUUUUCUGUCCAUAGGAUUUCAUCUGAGCAUUGUUCUCACAUAAAGAACUUAGUAGCAGAGAGUUUUAGAAUUGGAAGAUCUUGAACAAUUCCUUUGUGACAGUUAAAACAACUAAGGCUCAAGGAAGGUGGAACAGACCAAAGCAACUGGAUCUAGAUAAAAGUUAUGAGCCAUGUUAGAUUCAAACACAGGUAAUAUCCUUGGGAACCAGCUGCCACCAGCGGAGACCACAGAGACCACAGUGGAACUUGGAUGAAAAUGCUCUCAAAGGCCAAAGGCUAAAGCCAGAGACCACAAAAGAACUGAAUUAAACAAGUUUUUACCGGGCCUUGGUUUCAAGGAGCUCAGAGGGUUUACCAGACUUCUUGUCGGCCUUCAUCACACCCAAGUUAGAGGGAAAAGUGAAUAUUGUAUGAAGAUGGCUUUCAUAUGAAGGCAGUCUGCAAAAGCAAAACUGAUCACUCAAAGCCAGUGGGUGAGGACCCAAUUUCCUUAACAAGAAUGCACGGAUCUACUGGUGAAGGAAAAGAAUAUCACCGUUAAUUAAGAUGAAACAACAACACUACUACUCAUUAAAGUACCCAAGGCAGGUAGACUGCCUUGUAAAUUGACCACUUGGGAAUGUUUGGCUUACCAGGUACUUGCACACCGGCAAGAAACUCGGGAAAUCCAGACAGAGUCCACCCUGCUGCUGCUCACCUCCUCUCCUAUCUGGCAGCCAGAAAGGAUUUGUUCUGUUUUGUUACGGAGGGAUAAACUAGGAUCAGUGAGUGGAAGACUCAUGAAGGUAGAUUUUUGGCUCGAGAGAACACUUUUCAAAAAUUAGAUGACCCAAUGAUGAAUGUGCUGCUAGCUAAGGUGAUGUGUGCUCUGUAGGUGAUCAAGGAGAAGCCCCAGGAACACACAUUCGGUAUGCAAUUAUGGGUAUCAUAAUUUUCAUUAUCGUUGUAAUCAUUAUCUUAUUAGCAUUCCACCAGGCAGAUAUGGGCAUUGAUUAGUGUUGAAAAUGGUUCCACCAAAAGAGGCCAGUUGAUUUUAGGUCAAACUUGACUUUGAAUGAAGGUUCUAUCAUUUACCAGUUAUAUGAUUUACAGCUGGUAAUUAAACCUCUCUAAGCCUCAGUUUCCUCAUCUGUGCAACAGAGAUUACAAUAAGUACCUCUCUUGUUCAUUUAUUCAUUCACCCGAUACUUACAAGGCAUCUACUGUGGGCAAGGCGCUUUUCUCGGUGUUGAGGAUUUGGUGAUGAACAAGAUAGACAACAUCUUUAUUCUCCAUGGGGUCCACAUUUCAGAGUAUGUGGAGAGAGUCAGAAACUAUACAAGUAAAAAUAAAUAUAACAAACUAAUAAGCUGAUUAAAUACUUAUGCAGGUAGUAAUAAAUGUUGUGAAUCAAACAAGAUACGAUGUCCAGGAUAUCUUUAGUUAGGAUGGCCAAAGAAGACUUCUCUUAGAAUGUGACAUAUACAUUGGAACCUAAAAUAAGAGAAGGGGCCCUAUGACCUGAGCUGGACUACUGUGUUUGGAGUGGGGUGGGGUGAGUAGUUUCAGAUGAAGUUGAUGGAGAGGAUUAAAGGAGGUAAUAUAGGAUGAUCUGCCUUACAGUUCACCAUGCACAGAAAGGACUUGUGUUAUUCCUACUAAAAAAAUUUCAUGACACAUCGAUGCGCUUGUGUAGACGGCAGACAGAGGCAUCACUUCUCUAUUCCUGGAUGCCCCCAAAUGCCCGGGUCUCACCACCCUGCUAAUACCCAAUCCAAUCCUAGCAUGAUCUAAAUUUUAACCACUGGAGAGUACAGCAUUUCAGAGCUAGAGGAGAUCUUGGUCGUUCCAAACAUGAAUUAAGACAUCAUGAUAAUGGGUAAUCUGAGGGUUCCUUGGAGCAGCCUCUGAAGCCCUGAGAAACAGAAGAUUGGGGUGGUUAAGAGGAUGGGACCCUAGGCCUCCUGCUAUUACUUCAACCAGAAGAAUUCUACAAGUGUCUGUUUUAUUUUUUAUUUUUCACUUGAAAACUGAGUUGUUUUGCUAAAGACAACCCUAAAGCUUGAAAGUCUAGUUUUGUGGGUAAGGAAAUUGAGCCUCAAAGAAGUUAAAUGACACACUCAAGGUCAUUUAGCUGAUAAUUGGCCAAGUGGAACUAGGACCCAUCUCCUGACCUCUGAUUUAAUAAUUUCUCCCUAUGUUUUGUUAAAUAAAACACAUACACCCCCCUGUA